CACACUCACAUACACACACACAGACUCUGGGAGACGCGCGCCUUCCGGAAGUGUUCCUCUUAUUGCUGCCCAAACCUGAACCUCUUCCUCGAGGAGAGAAGGGCAAGACGAGAGAGAGUGCACGGUGAUGUAUGAACAGGUCCCCUCCGAGGGUGGGGCUGGGGCCCCUCCACCUCUCUGCUGGAGGUCCCGACUCAGAGUGGGAAGUGGUCAGAGGAGAGGAGACAGCUGUGUUGGAACCUGGCUGCCACAGGAGAAGCAGCUCACUUCCUCUCUGCGCCACAGUCCAGGCUAAAAUCCCAGAGCGCACAGGUGGGAAGUGGAAAUGGACAGUGCUGCCAUCCUGUCGGGGAUCUUUCUAUAUCCAAAACCAAAAUAUAGGACGAGGCCUCUCCGGGUUCAUUCUAAAGAGGUGGCAGGACCAUUUAUUCAUGAAGAUCCUCCUGGGUUGACUGUGAAUCACGUUGACGUUGGUUUAAGGUGAACCUGACGUCGACAGGCGUGCUCCUGCGUUUGCUGCAUUUCCUUCGCAUCCCUCUCCUGCUCUUUGUCUUCUUGUUAACUUCACGCUCGGCAGUCGUGGUAGGGGGAGGGGCGGUCAUUCCCACUUACGACCAAGCACAAAGCGCAGAAGACUGAGUGCAGACCCCUCCUCAGUCACCGACCACUGCUUCUGUCUCACCGGGCUGUUCCUGGAUGGGGGUCAAGAUAUCCAUCACUCACAGUGACCCUCAGAAGACCACCACUGUAAAUAUAUAAAGGAAAGCUCUUCCUGACCCUGCUGGUCGGGCGGCCCGCGACGGAUCCAGGCCCGUGAGUUGUGAGUGGAAGUAACAGAAGUGCUGUGUGUCACCUCUGGACUGGGGCAUCUAAUCGUUGAUGGGAGACCUCCCAGAGCUCUCUUUUCUUCUGCCAUCACGGCCAUGUGACUGUCUUCUCAACCUCUGUGGUGGAUGUUCAGCACUGCCAAGGCCUCUGAAUGCCAGAUGCACCACUCUGCGCCCUCCUCAUGCCAACCCCAAGGCCUCCGGGGUCUAGUAGCCCUCUCACAACAUUUCUCCCCCUCCACACCUGAUCUUUGGACCUCAAGGCCUUUAGGAUGCUGUGAGGUCAUCCUCAAGUAAUUCAUUCAGCUACAGUGACCACUGCUCUGGCACCACGCCACAUGGUGGGGGUGGGUCUUUUUCUCAGAUCCUGGGCGUCUCCCUAGGCUAUACUUUGGGGAGCAAGGCACAAGUGUCCGCUUAUCCCAGGCCCCAUCCCCGAAACCUGUCCGAGGUUUCUAUCAAUCUUGUCCUACACCCAGUUGCUGGGAUUAAGCCCAAAGCGGGGCUGGGGGGCUGGGGGUAGUCCAGGCUGUGAACAUUCUUACAGGGCAGCGGAACAAUGUGGUCCUCUCUUGCUCUCCUUCCCACUUCUCCCCUCCCUCAUCCUCUGGGAUGGAAAGCUAUCUCUUGUGUCAGUGCUACACAAAGUGCUGGUGUGCAACAAGAGGAGGACGUUGUGCCAGCAUGUAAAUCAACACGCUGCUCCUUCAUCAAGAAAGUCUUGCCAGUCGUGAAAUAAAAGUGCCGCCUGCAUUAAGCGGUGUUGAUCCUGAUAAAGCUGAUUUGUA
ensembl:lncRNA